rnacentral:tRNA from 1 species
ACUUGAAUAGCUUAUUUAGAGCGCAACACUGAAGAUGUUGAUGAGGCAUAUAAUGUCUUUAAGUA